CACGAAGUUGGAAUUGCUAGUAAUCGCGGGUCAGCAUACCGCGGUGAAUACGUUCCCGGGCUUUGUACACACCGCCCGUCAAACCAUGAAAGUUGGGAACACCCGAAGCCUGUGAGCUAACCGCAAGGGGGCAGCAGUCGAAGGUGGGUUCAAUGAUUGGGGUUAAGUCGUAACAAGGUAUC
rnacentral:rRNA from 1 species